CAGGGUGACAGGUGGUGCAUGGUUGUCGUCAGCUCGUGUCGUGAGAUGUUGGGUUAAGUCCCGCAACGAGCGCAACCCUCGACCUUAGUUGCCAGCAUUCAGUUGGGCACUCUAAGGUGACUGCCGGCUAAAAGUCGGAGGAAGGUGGGGAUGACGUCAAAUCAUCAUGCCCCUUAUGACCUGGGCUACACACGUGCUGCAAUGGGCGGUACAAAGGGUCGCGAACCCGCGAGGGGGAGCCAAUCCCAAAAAGCCGCUCUCAGUUCGGAUUGCAGGCUGCAACUCGCCUGCAUGAAGCCGGAAUCGCUAGUAAUCGCGGAUCAGCAUGCCGCGGUGAAUACGUUCCCGGGCCUU
rnacentral:rRNA from 1 species